UACGUAGGGUGCGAGCGUUAAUCGGAAUUACUGGGCGUAAAGCGUGCGCAGGCGGUUUCGUAAGACAGGCGUGAAAUCCCCGGGCUUAACCUGGGAACUGCGCUUGUGACUGCGAGGCUAGAGUACGGCAGAGGGAGGUAGAAUUCCACGUGUAGCAGUGAAAUGCGUAGAGAUGUGGAGGAAUACCGAUGGCGAAGGCAGCCUCCUGGGCCAGUACUGACGCUCAUGCACGAAAGCGUGGGGAGCAAACAGGAUUAGAUACCCUGGUAGUCCACGCCCUAAACGAUGUCAACUAGGUGUUGGUGGGGUUAAACCCAUUAGUACCGCAGCUAACGCGUGAAGUUGACCGCCUGGGGAGUACGGCCGCAAGGUUAAA
rnacentral:rRNA from 1 species